rnacentral:rRNA from 1 species
AGAGUUUGAUCCUGGCUCAGAACGAACGCUGGCGGCACGCCUAACACAUGCAAGUCGAGCGCUACCUUCGGGUGGAGCGGCGGACGGGUUAGUAACGCGUGGGAACAUACCCUUUACUAAGGAAUAGCCUCUGGAAACGGAGAGUAAUACCUUAUACGCCCUUCGGGGGAAAGAUUUAUCGGUGAAGGAUUGGCCCGCGUUAGAUUAGAUAGUUGGUGGGGUAAUGGCCUACCAAGUCUACGAUCUAUAGCUGGUUUGAGAGGAUGAUCAGCAACACUGGGACUGAGACACGGCCCAGACUCCUACGGGAGGCAGCAGUGGGGAAUCUUAGACAAUGGGCGCAAGCCUGAUCUAGCGAUGCCGCGUGAGUGAUGAAGGCCUUAGGGUCGUAAAGCUCUUUCGCCAGAGAUGAUAAUGACAGUAUCUGGUAAAGAAACCCCGGCUAACUCCGUGCCAGCAGCCGCGGUAAUACGGAGGGGGUUAGCGUUGUUCGGAAUUACUGGGCGUAAAGCGUACGUAGGCGGAUUAGUCAGUUAGAGGUGAAAUCCCAGGGCUCAACCCUGGAACUGCCUUUAAUACUGCUAGUCUUGAGUUCGAGAGAGGUGAGUGGAAUUCCGAGUGUAGAGGUGAAAUUCGUAGAUAUUCGGAGGAACACCAGUGGCGAAGGCGGCUCACUGGCUCGAUACUGACGCUGAGGUACGAAAGUGUGGGGAGCAAACAGGAUUAGAUACCCUGGUAGUCCACACCGUAAACGAUGAAUGCCAGUCGUCGGGUAGCAUGCUAUUCGGUGACACACCUAACG